rnacentral:misc_RNA from 1 species
UAUACAUAACCAUGAGGGCAGUCAAGGUAAACGGGUGGAUCCGGUACAUGUAAGAGGUAACCAGCCUAUCCGUACGGCUAGAUGGCUGCUAGAUCACGUACAUAUCUACCACACUACAUAUGGGCUUGUCUUAUCUUGGGGAGUUGUAAAGGACAUGUGUACCAGAACUUCUCCUGUAUCACGUACAACUGGGACGAGUAUCUGACCUGCUCCUGGGCUUUGUCACCACUGUACAACGAACCAGUCUACACAACAUCGCUCACUUGGCAAUUGCCACAAUUUGCCAUUUGGUCUUCAUGCCCGGAUUUGUCCUCCGGUACAUGCACGUGGUCUUUAGGUGGAAAUGACGGAAUUAAGGACACAGACCCCCACCAACCAAUACGUGUCUGUCUUCACCUGCGGAAUGACAAUAGAGCGAUAGAGUCAGAAUGUCAUGAGGUGGACAUUGAAAACAAAGUAAAACCAGCCACGGUUAGUGAUUUGGUAGCAAAGCCCCAAUAUCCUAACUGUAUUUGUGCUCAGUGGACACAUCAGAAAGUUAUACCAUCAAAGAUAUUCUCUUUGGAAAUAUCUUCACCAGGCUCGGCCACAAUACAAAAGAACGUACGGAUGGACUCAUUUUAUGAUUACGAUGACUCGUCCGAAUUCCAAAGUGGAUCCUACACAAACUUAACGGUUUGCAAUCUUUCCUAUUUCGUUAACUACACGAUUUCCGUGAGGGUAGGAGCCAUUGAUAUGGACGACAACCAAAUAGGCUACUGGAGCGACUCGCUGGCUAUUAAUGUAGUCACGUCGAAAACGGUUCCAUCAGGUCCGCCUUCUUUACCCCAGGGUGGGUACACCCUCUCGGCUGUCAAUGGUAAAGGAUAUAGGUUGGCCAGAAUCUACUGGACGAGUCUUCCUAAGCACGCGUGGAAUGGGGAGACUAUAACGUACGAACUGGAGGCAUUUCCGGUCGAUGGGUGUGGAUCGCGAACCGUCCGACUUAGUAGGCGAAAUACAUCAGCAGAAUUCGAUAUUAUGUAUACAUGUUCCUACAACAUCAAAGUAUGGUCAAGAAAUGAAAUAGGGAGGUCAAAGGACGUCAGCGUUCUUCUGUUGGAACAGAACGUAUUACAAAGACCCCGUGAAGUGUCCAUGACUGAUGGACAUACAGAUUUGGUGACUAUUUCUUGGCUUGAACCGAAAGAUGUGAAACCGACUUUAUUGCUCAAAUAUACUGUAUAUUGGUGUCCCAGAUCUCCUAGACAACUAUGCCAGGGGUCUUUCAACUAUAGAACAGUCAUUUCGCCUAUUUCGUAUGAAGACGUAUACUUGCGGACCACUGUCCGGAUGGAAGGAUAUCCGAACGUCACGUAUAUGUACGGAGUGUCUACGGAUAUAAACAUUACCGGAACAGUCGCCAGUAGUGGCUUUGUGUGGACGGAUUGUUCAAUGCUAUCUACAGAUAAACUGAAAAAUCCCAGGAUAUCUUUUGAAGGAUAUCCCUCCGAAAAAAGAGUAAGAGUCUCAUGGAUAUACCUGAAUUGUGCUCAAGCAAUGAUUAAAAAGGCUAACAGCGUACAUUACGAUGUUACAAGCUGCCCAUCAGAUAAGUGUGAAGAGCUAAGUACUGAGAGUAAAGAAGCCUAUGUCGACUUACACUCAAUCUCUGCCGGACAGGAGGUAUGUGUGACCAUUGCUGUACGCCUGGGUACAGUUUCUGGACCAACAAGUCGUGUAUACUGCUAUACCCAGUCCUUACAAGGUACCCAGUAUCCUCUGCAUGCUGUGCUUGUUUCCCUUGUCAUCAUAUCAGGUGCUGUUGUAGUCGCAAUAGUAGGGACUAUCUUAUAUGUCGCCUUCAAAUGGUGGACGAAGCCGACUAAAUGUAGUAUACCAAAGAUACCUACAGGGGGUAAUGACAGUGAACAGACAACUACAGGAGAUCUGGUUCAACCAUUAGUUGGAAACGGCAGUGCAGUAUCUACAGGUCGAACGACUGUGACUACGGAGACGGCCCUAAUAGUCAACGACUGAUACACAAAUCCCAGUUAUUACAUAACUUUUCUUCACAACUGGCUUCGGUAUCACAGACGCACAAGCUGACUUUGUCUCCGAACUCAAGAUUUCAGGUCAUCGCAAAAUCCAGAAUAUUAACUCCUACUCCAGUCUUAACACCAAACAACACAAGGCGAUAUCAGAUGUCAUAUCCAACGUGCGAUUGUGGCUUCGACUUCACAAUCAAACAGAUCAUCCAGUAGACUGUUACGAUGACAGAUCAACGCCAUCACUGUCAUUUCAAUGGACCAAUAUAUGGUGGAACAUUUCACGUUAAAAUAAACCAUGCUGCACCAAAACGACCACGAGUGCUGUACUCUGACGAAAGUGAAGAAAGAAGAAGCUUUCUAGUCCAGAAUCCCCGCCAAUAUAAACUUUGUACUAUUUAUAGCUACAUGGACUAAGCGGCCUAAUCAAGCAUUU